rnacentral:rRNA from 1 species
UUUAAUGGCUAUUGCACGUUAAAUGCAACAGUUCCCGAUGGAUCACUGAUGUUAAUCAACGUUGUACGUGGUUGGUAUCUGGAUGGGUGACUGUCUGAAGCAACAAGUGCUCCUGGCU